rnacentral:rRNA from 1 species
UACGUAGGCAGCGAGCGUUGUUCGGAGUUACUGGGCGUAAAGGGCGCGUAGGUGGCGACCCAAGUCCGUGGUGAAAGCUCGUCGCUUAACGACGAGUCGGCCACGGAGACUGGGUGGCUUGAGCACUGUAGGGGCUAAUGGAAUUCCGGGUGUAGUGGUGAAAUGCGUAGAGAUCCGGAGGAACACCAGUGGCGAAGGCGACACGCUGGGCCGUACCUGACACUGAUGCGCGACAGCAUGGGGAGCAAACAGG